ACGACCACAUCACGUUGAAACAUCGGUUUCGUCCGAUCACCGAAGUUAAGCAACGUCGAGCCUGGUCAGUACCUAGAAGAUGGGUGACCGCUUGGGAAUACCAGGUGCUGUAAG